GUCCAGACUCCUACGGGAGGCAGCAGUGGGGAAUAUUGGACAGUGGGGGGAACCCUGAUCCAGCGACGCCGCGUGAGUGAAGAAGUAUUUCGGUAUGUAAAGCUCUAUCAGCAGGGAAGAAAGAAAUGACGGUACCUGACUAAGAAGCCCCGGCUAACUACGUGCCAGCAGCCGCGGUAAUACGUAGGGGGCAAGCGUUAUCCGGAUUUACUGGGUGUAAAGGGAGCGUAGGCGGUUUAGCAAGUCAGAAGUGAAAGCCCGGGGCUCAACUCCGGGACUGCUUUUGAAACUGUUGAACUAGAUUGCAGGAGAGGUAAGUGGAAUUCCUAGUGUAGCGGUGAAAUGCGUAGAUAUUAGGAAGAACACCAGUGGCGAAGGCGGCUUUCUGGACUGAAACUGACGCUGAGGCACGAAAGCGUGGGGAGCGAACAGGAUUAGAUACCCGAGUAAU
rnacentral:rRNA from 1 species